UACGAGGGUGCAAGCGUUGUCCGGAAUUAUGGGCGUAAAGAGCUCGUAGGCGGUCUGUCGCGUCUGCUGUGAAAACUCGGGGCUUAACCCCGGGCCUGCAGUGGGUACGGGCAGACUAGAGUGCGGUAGGGGAGACUGGAAUUCCUGGUGUAGCGGUGAAAUGCGCAGAUAUCAGGAGGAACACCAGUGCGAAGGCAGCUCGCUGGGACGUUACUGACGCUGAGACGCGAAAGCGUGGGGAGCAAACAGG
rnacentral:rRNA from 1 species